AGCCCUAAAUGUGAAGUAGUGUAGAUUUGUAGGAUCAGUUAACCAUACUGAUCUACCCUACUUCAAGUUUGUGCUC
rfam:Haemonchus placei strain MHpl1 genome assembly, scaffold: HPLM_scaffold0000296